GGGCCGGAACUAUUCUCAGGUACUGUCAUUAUCAUCCCUGGUAAAAGAGCUUUACAACCCUAAGGCCUUCAUCACUCACGCGGCAUUGCUGGAUCAGGCUUUCGCCCAUUGUCCAAUAUUCCCCACUGCUGCCUCCCGUAGGAGUCCCCCCGUGCCCCCGCCCCGCCCGCCGCGCGCGGCGGGCGGGGCGGGGGCACGGGGGGACUCCUACGGGGGGGAGC
rnacentral:rRNA from 1 species